GGGGAUCUGGCCGAGUGGUUAAGGCGUUGUGUUUAGGUACUUCGAAAGAAGAUCAAAACCGUCCGCAAUUCGAAAGAGCGUGGGUUCGAAUCCCACGGUCCUCA
rfam:Botryotinia fuckeliana BcDW1 unplaced genomic scaffold Scaffold_412, whole genome shotgun sequence.